rnacentral:rRNA from 1 species
GACGAACGCUGGCGGCGUGCUUAACACAUGCAAGUCGAACGCUGAAGCUUGGUGCUUGCACUGGGUGGAUGAGUGGCGAACGGGUGAGUAAUACGUGAGUAACCUGCCCUUGACUCUGGGAUAAGCCUGGGAAACUGGGUCUAAUACUGGAUACGACAUGCCACUGCAUGGUGGUGUGUGGAAAGGGUUUUAUUGGUUUUGGAUGGGCUCACGGCCUAUCAGCUUGUUGGUGGGGUAAUGGCCUACCAAGGCGACGACGGGUAGCCGGCCUGAGAGGGUGACCGGCCACACUGGGACUGAGACACGGCCCAGACUCCUACGGGAGGCAGCAGUGGGGAAUAUUGCACAAUGGGCGGAAGCCUGAUGCAGCGACGCCGCGUGAGGGAUGACGGCCUUCGGGUUGUAAACCUCUUUCAGCACGGAAGAAGCGAGAGUGACGGUACGUGCAGAAGAAGCGCCGGCUAACUACGUG